rnacentral:lncRNA from 1 species
UCUCCUUCCCCUGCAUCCUUCUCCACCUCCGGCCGCCGCCGCGGUCAGGCCGGCGUGGCGGCACAUCACUGCAUCUCCAUCCACCACUCCACACCCAUCCAACAACGCAUCUACCAGCGCCGCAUCAGCACCACCAUCCGCUGCAUCUCCCUUCACCGCGCCACCACUCAACCUUCCUCCGCGCGAGUGCCCCUGCUACCAUCCUUCUCCACUCUCCAAGCACCUCCUGGUAUCUCUCUUCUCCACGCCCUUGCCGCUGCUUCUCUUCUUGCCCAAACCUUGCUGCUGCUCCUUCUCUGAAUCUGCUGCUUAUACUGCUUCUUCUCCCAUGUCUUUGUUGCUGCUCCUUUUCUUGCGUCCCUGCUGCUUCCUCUGCUUCCCUUGCUCUGCUUCUUCCCCUACCUUGCUGCUGCUCUAUCCUCCGUUGCUGCUGCUUCUCUUCACCCGCAUCAACUGCUGCUGUUCCUUUUCCCCGCGAUCUGCUUCUACUCCUUCACACUCAUCUCCCUACUGCUGCUGUUCUCUCAGAUGUUUAUGUAAUUUGAGAUGUUUAGUACUUGAUAUAUUCAGAUUUUAUAAGAGCUAGCAACUUGUUAUUUGUUCAGUUUGGUAUGGGUAAAAUAUAUUGUUAAUUUGGGAGAUAAUUGAUCUAUUAGAAAUUGCUUCGGUGUAUUAAUAUUCUGCUAGCAUAUGAAUGUAUUCACCCCUGUGUGUUUGUUCUCCCUGUACUAGUUAAUUUCUACUAGUAACUUUUAGUUGUUAAUUACUGUUGUGUUGAUCUGUGGGUACUAGUCUUGUGGUUUGUAUAAUCUCGUUCAUUUAUGUGUUGUCACUUGUGUACUGCUCUUAUUUCAAAGAAACUUGUUCAAUUUGGUAGUAUAUGUUUUAGCUCCAGUACUUGUGUUAUAAAGGACUGUGAUAUAAAUGCAUCUUCCUUUUUUUACAUAUGUCUGCUAGAUAUAUUUGUGAUCAUCUCUUGUUACUUUCUUUCUGUAGAUGCUGAUGUCCUGUGUCAGUAUUUAGUUUCUAAAAUGAUAUGAAAAUACCAAUAUGAGAAAGUGAAGAUAAUCUUCAUCUCCCUUUGCCUCUGUGUCAUUCCCUUUGUUGAUGAUCCUUGUUGGUGUUGGUAUUAUUUUCUAUUUUCAUCACUCAACAUCGUGUGACCUAGAUUUAGCCGAGCAUAGUUGCCGUCGCCUAGUCCCUGUGGAGAACACGACACCCGUAGCUUUGGGCGUAGAAACCCCACUAUACUUUCAAUUGAUUAUUUUGGCGCCGUUGCCGGGGACUAGCGUCGAACGAUUGUGUGAAGCUAUAGACUGGGCUUAGUAUAGUUUUUGUUUAAAUUUCCAGUCAAAUUUAUUUCGGUGCUUCUUUUACCUUCUUACUUUUUGUUGCUUCGGCUUAUUAGGAUACUAACUUUCUGACUAGUCUUUACUGUUUAUGAGUGUGCGUAGGAAAUCUGAACUAAUUGCAGGUUGUUCUAUAGUUACACUCGGUUAAGAUGGCAUUGCUUCAUGAUCUUUGGAUGCCCAAAAGUCAGUGCUAUAUCACAGGACCGGUUUGGCCAACUAUUGAGGCAGAGAACUUCGAGCUAAAACCUAGUCUUAUUGCUUUGGUUCAACAACAACAGUUUGGAGGACUGCCUACUGAAGACCCUUAUGAGCACUUGCUCCGAGUCAUGGAGUAUUCAGAUACAGUAAAGUAUCAUGGAGUUCCUCAAGAUGUUAUCAAGUGCAUGCUGUUCACAUUCUCUCUCCGAGAUGAUGCUUGUGCUUGGUAUCGAUCCUUGCCAUCAAGAUCAUUCAGUUGGAAUGAGAUACCACGAGCUUUCUUGGAUAAAUAUUUCCCACUACACAAGCAGUCCGCAAUUCGAGAUGAGAUCUUCAGCUUCGUUCAGCGUGAAGGUGAGAGCUUGUAUGAUGCUUGGGAGAGGUACAAAGCCUUAUUCAGGAGAUCUCCUAACCACGGGCUCGAGAGAUGGUUAGAGCUGCAGCUAUUCUAUAGAGGAUUAACUUCGGACACUCGAUCUUACGUCGAUAUGGCAGCGGGUGGAGCUAUUACAAACAAGACACUUGAUGAUGCUUUUCUGCUGAUUGAGAACCUAACUUUCCACCAACUUCAGUGGUACAACGAGAAGCCCACCUCUGGCCCAGUUGCUUGCUUGCAACAAAUCACUUCAUCUCAGCAAGAAUCUCUUACACAAAAGUCGGAACCAGUUUCUCCGUGUGACAAGAUUGAGCUUUCAUGGAUUAUCCUUGAUGAUGAUGACACCAUCCUAGUUGACACACACACUUCAGAUCAUAUGGAUACUAGCAUUCUAGAUUCAGUUUUGCAUUGUGAUGAUUCUUCUAUUGAUGAACCGGAGCUACAGUUAGUUACUUUUGAUAUUGAGGAGAUACCUUUAGUUGAUAUUGAUCAUGUCCUGCUAGAGCCAGAUAUGGAAAAGUUCACCUUUGAUGAUGUUAGCCACAUCGAUUCUUCAACGCUUGAGCCUGAGAUGGAAAUCUUCAUUGUUGAUUAUGAUGAGGUCACUUCAGAUGUCAAGGAGCAAAGCCCUACUAUUUCACCUGUCGAUACGAGCCCGAUGGAAGUUUCUACUACCAUGCCUUCCAUGGUAUCUUCAAUUGAGGUAGUCAUAAAACUUCUCCAAGGCCAUUUUAGGUAUUAUCUCAGCUUUCUGGAUAAGUUAUGUCAUAUCGCUGAUAUUGCCUAUGCACCAUGUGACUUGUUGUUGAUACAUGUUCCUGAUUUUCUCAAUAGAUAUACUUAUAUGAUAGGAUACUCUAUCGAUGACUUAGAGGGCAUUCUCUCUGUCACUUGUAUUGGCUUGGCUGUCGAGUGUUCUUUCAGGUUGAUGCUUGUGCACCAUUUACUGCGAGUUGACCGAGUUUGAGAUGACAUUCCCUGGGAUCCUGGUGGAUUCACGGCAUGGUGAUGAGGAGAAGCAAUGGGCACACACGAAGAAGAGUGAAGCUGGAGCAUGCACGAGGAAGCAACGGAGAAGAGCUGCAGCUUAGAGAGUGAUCAAGCGAGUGUUACUUCAUAGUGCCCGGUGAGCUGUUUCAUGACCCAUUCCGAGUAUAUCAUCCAUUGAUACAUGCUGAAAUCAAAUGUUAUUUGGGUUGCUUAUUAAGCCAGUUCUUAAAUGUUGCCCCACUGAAUUUUAUUUGACAUAUGGUGCUUGAUGAGAAUAUGCGAACCGAUUGUUGAAUGCCAUGUAAACUAGUGAUCUACAUAUUGCGUGCUUUGCUGAAAUUAGUGAGAACUAUUAGUUUUGAGUGCUCAAAUCCCUAGUACACUAGAAAACUUUAUCAUUUCCUGCUUUUACCUCGAUAUACCUAGAUCAUUAAGUGUCAGAUGCUGAGUUUGUGCCCAAUGUGUCCCCAUUCAGAGCAAUCACUCACCACUAUGGACUAGCAUGCUAUGUUCCCUGGAUCGGUAGUAUGUGAAGCAGACUUGGAUGAGUGAUGAUUCUUGUUUCCUUUUUGUAUUCAUUUGUUAAAUAAGUAAUAAUGAAUAAAUAAUUAUCUGAUCUUACCUAACAGUAGCAUGUCAUGUUCCCUGGAUCGGUGGCUUGUGAAAUCUGGUUGGAUCGGAUAGGAGUUAAUUAUAUUAAAAAAAUUGUGAUUGUCGAACCAGGUGUAUACCAUGUUCUCGGGAUCGGUGGUAUGUUCCUUUGGGGAGACAAACUAAAAAAACUAAUAAUUGGUCGAGCCAGGUGUAUACCAUGUUCUCGGGAUCGGUGGUAUGCUCCUUUGGUGAGACUGGUAAAAUGUUAUCAUUACUUCCUUCACAUUUAAUAAGUGGUUCAACCACAAUGUUAUAUUUCUACAAAUAAGUGAUUUAAUUCAAGUUCCUUUUGUUCUCAGGAUCAUGCUCUCUUUAGGAACCUUUUGGCAUAGUCAGCAUUUGAACUUGCUAAUCUUCGUUUAUCAUUGCAAAAGUUUAAAAAUGGUCGAGUUUACUAGUGUCCUACUGCUUUCUAGCACCCUAACCAUUAAUUUUCACUAAGUCUGAAGCAUGCACUGUUUAGAGAUCUACUUCACUUGACAUUCUGCAGUCAGUUCACAAUUCACUAUCUAGUUCUUGUCAUAUUCCUUUGCUCGAGGACAAGCAACGAUUUAAGUGUGGGGGAACUUGAUAAGCAUAUUUCAUAUACAUAAUUUUGGCAUUGAAUUAUACCAUUCGUUGAGUUAUGCCCAUCUAUUCUUGCUAAGUUUAGUUGAAUAUUUGCAUGAAAAUCAUAUAAUGAAUCAUUUAUUAGUCAUUGUGUUUCUUUUGCAGAAAAGUGCGACAAGGCACUAUAAUCUACAAGUUUCUGUCUAGAAAGAAUUGAGGAACAAGAUCACGGGCAAGAAGAGAAGAAAGAGGGACUCAAGCUUGAAGAAGAUUAAAGCUUAGGGGGGCUAGCUUAAGAAGUGGAGGGAUCAUCUUGUGCCAAAAGAAGGAAGAAGGAGUGCCAACGUGCAAAUGGAAGAUCUGAUCAAGGGGGUAAAAUCCCUAGCGCUCUCAAUCCCCAAAAGGAGGCCUGACAUCUCUCUCUCCUUCCCCUGCAUCCUUCUCCACCUCCGGCCGCCGCCGCGGUCAGGCCGGCGUGGCGGCACAUCACUGCAUCUCCAUCCACCACUCCACACCCAUCCAACAACGCAUCUACCAGCGCCGCAUCAGCACCACCAUCCGCUGCAUCUCCCUUCACCGCGCCACCACUCAACCUUCCUCCGCGCGAGUGCCCCUGCUACCAUCCUUCUCCACUCUCCAAGCACCUCCUGCUGUCUCUCUUCUCCACGCCCUUGCCGCUGCUUCUCUUCUUGCCCAAGCCUUGCUGCUGCUCCUUCUCUGAACCUGCUGCUUAUACUGCUUCUUCUCCCACGUCUUUGCUGCUGCUCCUUUUCUUGCGUCCCUGCUGCUUCCUCUGCUUCCCUUGCUCUGCUUCUUCCCCUACCUUGCUGCUGCUCUAUCCUCCGUUGCUGCUGCUUCUCUUCACCCGCAUCAACUGCUGCUGUUCCUUUUCCCCGCGAUCUGCUUCUACUCCUUCACACUCAUCUCCCUACUGCUGCUGUUCUCUCAGAAGUUUAUGUAAUUUGAGAUGUUUAGUACUUGAUAUAUUCAGAUUUUAUAAGAGCUAGCAACUUGUUAUUUGUUCAGUUUGAUACGGGUAAAAUAUAUUGUUAAUUUGGGAGAUAAUUGAUCUAUUAGAAAUUGCUUCGGUGUAUUAAUAUUCUGCUAGCAUAUGAAUGUAUUCACCCCUGUGUGUUUGUUAUCCCUCUACUAGUUAAUUUCUACUAGUAACAUUUAGUUGUUAAUUACUGUUGUGUUGAUCUGUGGGUACUAGUCUUGUGGUUUGUAUAAUCUCGUUCAUUUAUG